CCCAUCACCCAAAUAUCAAAGAAGACCUAGUUCAUCAUGAUUCAGUGAAAUAAACUUUAGAACACUAAUCCUAGUUCAUCAGGACUCAAUGAAAUCAUAAUGAACUACGAUCCACAACACUAUCAAUUUAACAUCAAUUGAUACUAUAGAUGAAACAAAUUUCAAUUUACCUUUUAACCUAUGUGAAUGCAUCAAGGAAAUCAAAUUGAAACCUAACCGAAGAAAAUGAAGGGGAGGAAGGAACUCGAUCUCAAACCUUAGGAAAUCACUACAAAAACAAAUUUUCAGGUAGGUGAUGAGUCAUAGCUGAUGCGUUCGGAUAGCUGUUGUUUUGCUAUUUAAUUGGAGUCACUUUGUUAGGAUGUUGUUGGGGAAAACUUUUAUUUAAUUAUGCUACUAAUUCUUUAUUAACAAUUGGACUAUGACAUUUUGAUUCAAUAAUUUCAAU